rnacentral:rRNA from 1 species
AGUGGCGGACGGGUGAGUAACGCGUGAGAAUCUGCCUUGGGGUCGGGGACAACCACUGGAAACGGUGGCUAAUACCGGAUAAGCCGAUUGGUGAAAGAUUUAUUGCCCGAAGAGGAGCUCGCGUCUGAUUAGCUAGUUGGUGAGGUAAGAGCUCACCAAGGCAGCGAUCAGUAGCUGGUCUGAGAGGACGAUCAGCCACACUGGGACUGAGACACGGCCCAGACUCCUACGGGAGGCAGCAGUGGGGAAUUUUCCGCAAUGGGCGAAAGCCUGACGGAGCAAGACCGCGUGAGGGAGGAAGGCUCUUGGGUUGUAAACCUCUUUUCUCAGGGAAGAAGCUCUGACGGUACCUGAGGAAUCAGCCUCGGCUAACUCCGUGCCAGCAGCCGCGGUAAUACGGAGGAGGCAAGCGUUAUCCGGAAUUAUUGGGCGUAAAGCGUCCGCAGGUGGCAAUUCAAGUCUGCUGUCAAAGCACGGGGCUUAACUCCGUUAAGGCAGUGGAAACUGAAUAGCUAGAGUGCCGUAGGGGUAGAGGGAAUUCCCGGUGUAGCGGUGGAAUGCGUAGAGAUCGUGAAGAACAUCGGUGGCGAAAGCGCUCUACUGGACGGCAACUGACACUCAGGGACGAAAGCUAGGGGAGCGAAUGGGAUUAGAUACCCC